UAAUACGAGGGGGGCAAGCGUUGUUCGGAUUUAUUGGGCGUAAAGGGUGCGUAGGCGGUUUGGCAAGUCUUAUGUGAAAUCUAUGGGCUCAACCCAUAGUCUGCAUAAGAAACUGCCGGGCUUGAGUAUGGGAGAGGUGAGUGGAAUUUCCGGUGUAGCGGUGAAAUGCGUAGAUAUCGGAAGGAACACCUGUGGCGAAAGCGGCU
rnacentral:rRNA from 1 species